rnacentral:tRNA from 1 species
GUCCAAUUAGCUCACAGGUUAGAGCGUAAUUACUGGGUAAUUAAGGUAGCAGGUUCAACUCCUGCAUUGGACU